rnacentral:lncRNA from 1 species
UUUUGCAUCUGAUCAUCAUCAGCUAAUUUAAUACGUUGCAGGUGGAUCUCCCAUUAACGACGAAGUGAGGGUUGUUCAUGUUGAAGACAGUGGGAUUUCAUUUGAGAAAUGCACGAUAACUAGAUUCCAUGCCAAACUUCUGAACCACUCCUUCUCCCCGAAAGGUCUUCUUUUGAGGAGUGGCUUCUCUGUGAAUUAUCACUGCGAAACAUUUAUAUAUGAAACUCAGAAAUCAUUCCUGACACUUCAUGUGUACUUGAUUCCAAGUGAGAAAAAAAUGAUAGAGGCUGUUGAAAACAAUGAGAUUAAAAGCAAGACAAGACUCAUCUCAAAGCCAGGGCCUGUAUCCUCGCUUCAGACAAAGACUUGGUAUUCACUGAGGACGCUGGAUGAAAAUAAGGAAUCUGAGUGCAAAUUUGAAGUUCAACCCAAAUUAGAGCUCAAGUACAAACCCGUAAAACCAGACUUCUUUGAAGUAUUCAUUGAUACACCAAAGGACUUUCACCUUCAGCUGAUGCCAGAACAUCACGGUGAAGGUGUAUGGGAUGCCAAAAUACGUCAAGGUAACAUUUGUUAUGAGCUUCAUUGUUAUGGGACACGGACCAUAUGUGCAAAGUAGUAG